UACGUAGGGCGCGAGCGUUGUCCGGAAUUAUUGGGCGUAAAGAGCUCGUAGGCGGCUUGUCGCGUCGACCGUGAAAACUUGGGGCUCAACCCUAAGCCUGCGGUCGAUACGGGCAGGCUCGAGUUCGGUAGGGGAGACUGGAAUUCCUGGUGUAGCGGUGAAAUGCGCAGAUAUCAGGAGGAACACCGGUGGCGAAGGCGGGUCUCUGGGCCGAUACUGACGCUGAGGAGCGAAAGCGUGGGGAGCGAACAGG
rnacentral:rRNA from 1 species